GAGACUUGCUCUCUAAGCGGACGGGAGCCGCAGUGACCAGGUGGCUGGGACUGUUUAUUAAAAACACAGCACUGUGCAAAAUCGCAAGAUGACGUAUACGGUGUGACACCUGCCCGGUGCCGGAAGGUUAAUUGAUGGGGUUAUCCUUAGGGAGAAGCUCUUGAUCGAAGCCCCGGUAAACGGCGGCCGUAACUAUAACGGUCCUAAGGUAGCGAAAUUCCUUGUCGGGUAAGUUCCGACCUGCACGAAUGGUGUAACCAUGGCCACGCUGUCUCCACCCGAGACUCAGUGAAAUUGAAAUCGCAGUGAAGAUGCUGUGUACCCGCGGCUAGACGGAAAGACCCCGUGAACCUUUACUACAGCUUGGCACUGAACAUUGAACCUACAUGUGUAGGAUAGGUGGGAGACUUUGAAGCAGCGACGCUAGUUGUUGUGGAGUCAACCUUGAAAUACCACCCUUGUAGUUUUGAUGUUCUAACGUUGGCCCCUGAAUCGGGGUUACGGACAGUGCCUGGUGGGUAGUUUGACUGGGGCGGUCUCCUCCUAAAGAGUAACGGAGGAGCACGAAGGUUGGCUAAGUACGGUCGGACAUCGUACGGUUAGUGUAAUGGUAGAAGCCAGCUUAACUGCGAGACAGACACGUCGAGCAGGUACGAAAGUAGGUCAUAGUGAUCCGGUGGUUCUGAAUGGAAGGGCCAUCGCUCAACGGAUAAAAGGUACUCCGGGGAUAACAGGCUGAUACCGCCCAAGAGUUCAUAUCGACGGCGGUGUUUGGCACCUCGAUGUCGGCUCAUCACAUCCUGGGGCUGAAGUCGGUCCCAAGGGUAUGGCUGUUCGCCAUUUAAAGUGGUACGCGAGCUGGGUUUAGAACGUCGUGAGACAGUUCGGUCCCUAUCUGCCGUGGGCGUUUGAGAAUUGAGAGGGGUUGCUCCUAGUACGAGAGGACCGGAGUGAACGAACCGCUGGUGUUCGGGUUGUCAUGCCAAUGGCAUUGCCCGGUAGCUACGUUCGGAACUGAUAAGCGCUGAAAGCAUCUAAGCGCGAAGCAGGCCUCGAGAUGAGUUCUCACUAGACUUUUAAAGUCUCUGAAGGGCCGUUGAAGACUACAACGUUGAUAGGCAAGAUGUGGAAGUGGUGUGAGCCAUUAAGCUAACUUGUACUAAUUACCCGUGAGGCUUAACCAU
rnacentral:rRNA from 1 species